UACGGGAGGCAGCAGGGGGAAUAUUGCACAAUGGGCGCAAGCCUGAUGCAGCCAUGCCGCGUGUAUGAAGAAGGCCUUCGGGUUGUAAAGUACUUUCAGUCGUGAGGAAGGUGUUAAGGUUAAUAACCUUAGCAAUUGACGUUAGCGACAGAAGAAGCACCGGCUAACUCCGUGCCAGCAGCCGCGGUAAUACGGAGGGUGCGAGCGUUAAUCGGAAUUACUGGGCGUAAAGGGCACGCAGGCGGUUAAUUAAGUUGGAUGUGAAAUCCCCGGGCUUAACCUGGGAAUGGCAUUCAAGACUGGUUAGCUAGAGUCUUGUAGAGGGGGUAGAAUUCCAUGUGUAGCGGUGAAAUGCGUAGAGAUGUGGAGGAAUACCGGUGGCGAAGGCGGCCCCUGGGACAAAGGCUGACGCUCAUGUGCGAAAGCGUGGGGAGCAAAC
rnacentral:rRNA from 1 species